UAAGAGAAAUUUAAUAAUAAACGAAGUGAAUUGAAAUAUCUUAGUAACUUUAGGAAAAGAAAUCAAAAGAGAUUCUAUGAUUAGCGUGAGCUAAAAUAGACUAGCCUAAAAAGUCAAAUGGUGGAUAAACUGUUUAAAUUAAAUGGGGAACCUUCCUCAAAGGCUAAAUAUAAUAUAUAAGCGAUAGUGGAAAGUACCGUGAGGGAACCAAAACAAAAACAGUGAUUUUAUAAGCAGUUCGGUAAAAUAAAAAAAAGUUAGAACGUACCUUUUGCAUAAUGGGUCACCAAGUUAACAUUAGAUGCGAGUAGGAGGGAGCAGCCCCGUGCAUACGUAGUUAAACCGAGCGUUAAAAUAACGGUAAGUAUCUAAAGUUAGACCCGAAGCCUGGUGAUUUUACCAUAAUCAGGAUUAUAAAAGUCCGAACGGAAUAUUGUAGCAUAAAUAUCCGAAGAAUUAUGGUAGGUGUAGUGAAAGACAAUACUGACCAGGAUAGCUGGUUUUCUGCGAAACCUAUAACAGUAGGCAAUUUAAGUAUAAUAUCUUAGCAGGUACAGAAUUUAAUCUCAGACAAGACAUAAGGCUUAGCUUGUUAGCAAGUAAAGCUCAUGUUUUAUUUUGUACAAAUUGGGGGAUCAUGAAGAUUUUAUCAGUGAGUAUGUAGACUCGGAAUGGCAAAGAUAUAUCUUAAAUCAUCAGACAUAGAAUGAUAAGGUUGUAUGUCAAAAGGGAAACAGCCCAGAACAAGAGUUAAGGUUCCUAAAUUAUUAGUUGAGUGAAAUUAAGAAGGUUUUUAUUAAAGUCGACAAGGAGAUAGGCUUAGAAGCAGCCAUAAUUUUAUGACCUCGUAACAGAGCGCUUGUUAAGUUUUAAAAGCAUCGAAAAUUUAUCGGAUCUAAACAAUAUACCGAAACCUUGUCCAUAUUAUUUUAUAAUUAAAGCUUAAUUAUAAUUAAAUGGGGUAGCAGAACGUUGAGCUAAAUUAAGAUUUUUAUUUUUUAAAUGAAAUUAUAAUAAUUUAACUCAAGUGAUAAUGGUGACAUGAGUAACUAAAAGAAAAAAUAAAAUUUUUCCGCCUAAAGCUUAUGGAUGUAAUUAAGUAACGGCCUCUAAGUUUAUAUUAUCUAAAGAUUUAAACGAUGAGAUAAUCUUUUGUACUAAGGACGACAUUUUAAGUGAAAAAUGUACUGGAAAAAUAGUACUAAAUUAAUGGCUAUAGCUAAUUAGGGCUAUAGCUAUAAAUGAAAAGUAACCGUACCUAGAAUCUGAAACAAGUAAGCUAGUAGAGAAUACGAAGGCGUAAAUGAGCUAACAAUCAUAAAGGAACUCGGCAAAUUGACUACCGUAACUUCGGGAUAAGGAGAGCUCAUUAUUCUUGAUUAAUAUCAGGUAAAGAGGAAGAAGCAUGAAAUAGUGUUGUACGACUGUUUAAUUAAAACACAGCACUUUGCUGAAAGAUUAAAAAUCUAAGUAUAGAGUGUGAUGUCUGCCCGGUGCCGGCUGGUUAACAGAUAUAAUUAAAUAUACUAAUAUUUGAUGUAGACGGAAACCCCGGUUAAAGGCGGCCUUAACGUGAGGGUCCUAAGGUAGCGAAAUGCCUUGGCCGUUAAAUGCGGUCUUGCAUGAAUGAUGUAACGAUACAACAGCUGUCUCUAUGAUUGACUCAGUGAAAUUGGAAUAGCUGUGCAGAUACAGUUUACCUCUAGUUAGACGAGAAGACCCUAUGCAGCUUUACUGUCACUAAUUAUAGAGUAUGAUAAACAAUUUUCAGAUUAUAAGGUAAUUGACGGCUAGCUUGUUCAGCAAGCUAGCUCUAUGACAAUGAGAAUCCUUUAUUUUUUUUCAUAUGAAUGAAUUGGUUUAGGAUUAUGAGUAGGUAGCUGCUUCUGCUACUUGGCGCAAGCAUUGCUUGCGUCAAGUGUCUGAAGUAUGCAUUCCAGCUCAUGCAUAGUAAAUCAACCUAAUUCAGCUUAUUUUCCUUUCUGCCAUAAGCGCAUAAUGAUAGAUUUAACUUAAAUUUUGAUUUAUGCCGAGCCCCUCCGGGGCUACUGCAGAAAUAGAUAAGUACCCUUGGCUAAGGAACUAUCGCUAGGGGACAGUUUAUGUGGGGCACAGACCCUGUAAAGAGUAAACAGGAGUGUCUAAUAAUUUAUAAUUAUUUUGUUUGCGAUUUAAGAUAGUGAAACUAUUUUUAAUCAUAUAAAAUUAUUUAUAUGUACAUUCGUUGUAUAUAUAUUUAAAAAAAGGUAGGAUUUUCACUAUAUAGAAAUUAGAGAUAAUAAAAAUAUUAAGAAUAUACCUUUCAGGUAGCACUAAUAUUUUUUAGCUAUUAAGACAGGCUAUCAAGCUAGGCUCUAAUAGUUAUAUUAAUUAUCUAAAAAGCUCAACGGCUAAAUCUUGCCUUACUGUUUGAUUAUCAACAAAUCUUACAGUUGCGUAAGCAGGGCAUAGGAUCACAAGAUGCAACAACAGGCUAAUUUGCGCAAGAGUGUACAAAAUGAGUGCGCGGUUUGGCACCUCGAUGUCGGCUUAACUUAUCCUCAUGGAUGCAGGAACUAUGUAGGGUGCGACUGUUCGUCGAUUAAAAAGUUACAUGAGCUGGGUUAAAUACGUCGUGAGACAGUAUGGUUUCUAUCUUCUAGGGGGAAUUAGAAUAUAAUAAGAACUAACUUUUGUACGAAAGGAACAAGAAGAAUUUAAUUUGUAAAAGGGUUAAAUAAUAGUUACUAACCUAUGGUUUACCUGUUGUCUAUGUGCCCAAAUAUUAAAAUAUAUAUAUGGAGGAAGCUACCUUAAGAGUCCUUCCCCGACAAAUUAUAUAUAUCUGUAUAGCUAGCCUGGCCGGACUUCCGGUUAUGCCUGAGUUUGGCA
rnacentral:rRNA from 1 species